rnacentral:rRNA from 1 species
UACGUAGGGUCCGAGCGUUGUCCGGAAUUACUGGGCGUAAAGGGCUCGUAGGCGGUUUGUCGCGUCGGGAGUGAAAACCAGGUGCUUAACACCUGGCUUGCUUUCGAUACGGGCAGACUAGAGGUAUUCAGGGGAGAACGGAAUUCCUGGUGUAGCGGUGAAAUGCGCAGAUAUCAGGAGGAACACCGGUGGCGAAGGCGGUUCUCUGGGAAUGACCUGACGCUGAGGAGCGAAAGUGUGGGGAGCGAACAGG